rnacentral:rRNA from 1 species
AUGAACGCUGGCGGCGUGCUUAACACAUGCAAGUCGAACGGAAAGGCUCCUGCUUGCAGGGGUACUCGAGUGGCGAACGGGUGAGUAACACGUGGGUGAUCUGCCCUGCACUUCGGGAUAAGCCUGGGAAACUGGGUCUAAUACCGGAUAGGACGAUGGUUUGGAUGCCAUUGUGGAAAGUUUUUCGGUGUGGGAUGAGCUCGCGGCUUAUCAGCUUGUUGGUGGGGUAAUGGCCUACCAAGGCGUCGACGGGUAGCCGGCCUGAGAGGGUGUACGGCCACAUUGGGACUGAGAUACGGCACAGACUCCUACGGGAGGCAGCAGUGGGGAAUAUUGCACAAUGGGCGCAAGCCUGAUGCAGCGACGCCGCGUGGGGGAUGACGGCCUUCGGGUUGUAAACUCCUUUCGCUAGGGACGAAGCGUUUUGUGACGGUACCUGGAGAAGAAGCACCGGCUAACUACGUG